CGAAGUGUACACUGCCAGAGCCUCUUCCGCGCUCCCACCCCGGCCCCCACCCCGCCCCUCCACUGCGGUAAAAACCACCUCCCGGACGCUCGCCUCGCCGCCCGAAGUUGCAUCUUCCCUCUCCUGGAAUUGCGGAGCGGAGCAACUACCAACAGGGAAAGCCAAGCCCCCCUCCCCGCGCCGGGGAGCCCCUCCCCAGCGCCCCCCACCCCCGCGGCGCACACCGGGGGUUCACGACACGUCCAGGCCCGGAUCUCCGCGCCCCUGACCCCACGGCCCCGCGCCGCCCCCCACCCCAGCCCCUACCUUGGGGAAGAGGCAGCGGGCCCGGGGAGGAGGACGCGCACGCCCCGCGCCUCUGAAGGUGAAGCCAAGCGCCCGAGGCGCGGAGCCGAGCGCUGCACUAGACCGACCGCGCCAGCUGCGCCCGGGCGCGGGGGACGCGCGAGGGCGCGCGGGGCCCGCCACGCGCCCGGCCCCCUCCCCGCGCCGCCCGCGCGCGCCCCGGACGCGCCCGCCCCGCGGGGACCCCGGCGCCGGCUGGGCUCGAGGGGCUGCUCCGCGCCGGGAGGGGGCCAGGCCCCCGCGGCCGGGUGCAGGCCCCAGGCUUCCCCCAGCCCCGGAAUGGUCUGCCCUGUAGGAAACGCACACGCUCCACUAUUGUCUCAUCAGCACAAAGUUCUGCCACACUGCGGGGAAAGUCUGGAGGCUCACGAUGACUCAGACACAGAUAAUUCUUCCCCUAAUAGCACUGAAUCACGAUCCCAGCGGCUAGUGUCACCCCUUUUCUCAAGGACUAACGCUGCCGCAGAUCCAGUUACGGGAAGCUGUUUACGCACACACGGAUACACACGCACGCAUCCAUACGUGCAGACGUGUUGGGGAUGCAUUUUCAGCCGACUUAAGCACCUGAGCACUAAGCCUCGAGUCCAGAUUUCUACGUGGGUGUCUUUCCGGGGGUCCCAGAUGCCCGUGCGUUACAAACGGCUUAGGGUGUGCGUUCACUUAACUUCCUGACUCCUGGCCAUGUUGUUCCCUCCUCGUGAUAACUCCGCAGUGGAGAUGGAUUCCGUCCAAGACACCGACGUAGCUCUGCUGAACGAUCAGCGCCGCAGUCCAGGCGUUACCUUCCGCUGUGGCAUUUCUCUCGGUGCCUAACAUUCGCUAACGUUCACUGCUGAUGCAGCCGGGGCCUCUCCAACUUAUGGCGUUUACAACAGAAACUACUACAGAAGAGCUCAAGGGAGGAGCUUGUGCCUGCAAAGCUGGACUCUUAGACACAGGGGCCAUUCUGCACGUGUGUGAUGUGUGUGUGAUGUAUGUCUGUGUGCAUGCGUGCGGUAUGCGUGUUUUUCGAUGGAGGAACGGGGGAGUAGAGAGACAAGGAGCAAGAGGGGUGAGAACCUUUGCAAGAAGGAUCUGCGAAUCAUAAAAUGCAUAGAAUGUAAGCUCCUUGUGAUUAAUGAUCUGCACUAAUUUGGAUAGCAGGCAUGGUAAAGGUCAUUGACAAUUGUUGCUGGUUUCAGCAUGAAUGCCUAAGCGGGAUGUAUUCUUGAACAAUCAAAAUUAAGUCAUUCACGGAAAAGAAGUGCCCACAAUUCAUUUCAGUACACAGUAAAAAUGCACAAAUAAAAGUAUCCCCCAAUUCA
rnacentral:lncRNA from 1 species